CAGAGGUGGCAAGCGUUGUUCGGAAUUACUGGGCGUAAAGGGCGCGUAGGCGGCCAUCUAAGUCAGACGUGAAAUCCCCCGGCUUAACCUGGGAACUGCGUCUGAUACUGGAAGGCUCGAGUUUGGGAGAGGGAUGUGGAAUUCCAGGUGUAGCGGUGAAGUGCGUAGAUAUCUGGAGGAACACCGGUGGCGAAGGCGGCAUCCUGGACCAACACUGACGCUGAGGCGCGAAAGCUAGGGGAGCAAACGGGAUUAGAUACCCCGGUAGUCCUAGCCCUAAACGAUGAAUGCUUGGUGUGGCGGGUAUCGAUCCCUGCCGUGCCGAAGCUAACGCAUUAAGCAUUCCGCCUGGGGAGUACGGUCGCAAGGCUG
rnacentral:rRNA from 1 species